rnacentral:rRNA from 1 species
GAUGAACGCUGGCGGCGUGCCUAAUACAUGCAAGUCGAGCGAAUGGAUUAAGAGCUUGCUCUUAUGAAGUUAGCGGCGGACGGGUGAGUAACACGUGGGUAACCUGCCCAUAAGACUGGGAUAACUCCGGGAAACCGGGGCUAAUACCGGAUAACAUUUUGAACCGCAUGGUUCGAAAUUGAAAGGCGGCUUCGGCUGUCACUUAUGGAUGGGCCCGCGUCGCAUUAGCUAGUUGGUGAGGUAACGGCUCACCAAGGCAACGGUGCGUAGCCGACCUGAGAGGGUGAUCGGCCACCCUGGGACUGAGACACGGCCCAGACUCCUACGGGAGGCAGCAGUAGGGAAUCUUCCGCAAUGGACGAAAGUCUGACGGAGCAACGCCGCGUGAGUGAUGAAGGCUUUCGGGUCGUAAAACUCUGUUGUUAGGGAAGAACAAGUGCUAGUUGAAUAAGCUGACACCUUGACGGUACCUAACCAGAAAGCCACGGCUAACUACGUGCCAGCCGCCGCAGUAA